CCAAUAGCGUAUAUUAAAGUUGUUGCAGUUAAAAAGCUCGUAGUUGAAUUUCGGGGUCAGUAGGUCGGUCGUGCCACUGGUAUGAACUGGUUUCACUGAUUCCUCCCUCUUGUAGAACCGUGAUGCCAUUAAUUUGGUGUUGCGGGGAAACAGGACUGUUACUUUGAAAAAAUUAGAGUGUUUAAAGCAAGCUAACGCUUGAAUACAUUAGCAUGGAAGAAUGAAAUAGGACGUCUGUCUUAUUUUGUUGGUUUCUAGGAUGGACGUAAUGAUUAAUAGGGAUAGUUGGCGGCAUUAGUAUUCAAUUGUCAGAGGUGAAAUUCUUGGAUUUAUUGAAGACUAACUACUGCGAAAGCAUUUGCCAAGGAUGUUUUCAUUAAUCAAGAACGAAAGUUAGGGGAUCUAAGACGAUCAGAUACCGUCGUAGUCUUAACCAUAAACUAUGCCGACUAGGGAUCGGAUGAUGUUAAUUUUUUAAUGACUCAUUCGGCGCCUUACG
rnacentral:rRNA from 1 species